GAGCAGCGCCGCUGCCGUCGGGUUCGCAGCUCUGCAGCGCCGUUAAGGCUUCGGCGCCCGCAGCCCCAGGGGCCCAGCGGCCCCGCUUUGUGCCUGGCCAGGUCUUCAAGAUCCUGGGUGAACGUCACUGGUUGAUGGCUACUUCUGGAUGCUGACCCUGUCCGAAGCUUGAGCUCCAAAUGGUAGAACCAUUGUGGACUGAAACCCACCUUUCCAGAUCUGAAAGGAAGACUGAGGAAGAGGAAGGGAGGGGACAGUCCCGGAGACAAUUCUAGUCCCUCACUCAGGACUUGAGCAGCGCCUUCAGAUGGCACCUUUGGAGAUCUUGACCAAGGCUCUUCUGUUUGGCCUGGGGUUUCUGGCACAUUCUCCCAGACUCAGGUGAGACCCCGAUGGGCACCCCGUGGGGCAGGUCCUGACACACGUCCCGACUCCAGCCACUGACACCAUUGCCAGCCUCAGUCUCUAAAUGCCACACCGCUCCUGGGGCCAGUUGGGCUGGGCACCACUGUUGCCUUUGAAGGUAGGUCCGUGCAUGCAGAUUUGAACCCCUGUGUGUCUGUGUGUCUGAGGAGGACUUGAAAGAUGUUGUGACACAUACAGUAGAGUACAGCCCUUGAAACUGCAAUGCCUGAUAGACAUGAUGGGACAGGAGUUCCCAGUCACUUCUGCAGCUUAGAGUUGCAGGUCUCUAACAAUUGAGAGGCGUUAGCUUAACCCAAAAUGCAAUGGGAAGCUUGAACUGGUACUGUGAAGCCUUUUUCCUGUGUGAAUCGCCCUCAGGGUCUUUUAGAUUCUCACUGGCUUUAGAUAGGAUUAUGCUUGUU
rnacentral:lncRNA from 1 species